AGGACAGUGAUUAAUAAUAGCUUCUAACGAGAAUAGUGAUGAAGUGGGGUUUAUUCGAUACCCUCGUCCUCCGUUCUUGGCUGGUUCUCUAUUUUAUUGACCCCGAAGAAAUGAAAAGAAGAACUGACCUCGGUGAGAUUUGAGCUCAAAACGUAAAAAAACUGGAAGAAAUACUGCGUAGCCUGAAUAAAUGCUGUUAAUGUUGGUACAAUGCCAGAAAUUUCGUUUCGGUAUUUAAAGCAAACCAUUACAUGUUUUAGUCAUUCCUCUUUGCUUCAGUCUGGCUUUCGUCAGGGUACCUGCUACCUGUGGUAGCAGAAUCUAUUGUCAGAAAUUAGCGACUUCUAUGGUGAAUUUCAGCGUUUGUAUCAAGACUGCUGUGGAAAAUGAUUGUAUCGAAGAUAAUGAGUCAGAUGAAAUUAUUAUCUGGUGAUAUUGGCAUCUAUGGAUGUUUUUACAUCAGCAAUACUUAAAAUCUGUGAAAGACUAAAGAAAGACGCUACACAGAAAGCAUAUAUAACAGUUUUGUGGUUUAUAGCAACGUUUCUCUGCUUCACUGGUUUGGAAUGUUUACAAGAUGAAUUUUGCCUUCUUGUUAAAUUUGGAUUGCAAAGGAGUUUGCAGAAUCUUCAGACAGCAGUGAAGAAGAGAAUUAAUGGAAAUAUAGAAGUAGAAAUAUAAGUUUUUGUUACCAAUCGGCUGCAUGAAAAAACGAAAAGAUAAACAUCUGCAUAUUUUGGUGAUAGAAGAAUAAAUACGGAAAAUGAAUUAUGUGAAAGCAAGGUUGAAUCUGAAACCCAAUCUAAAAGGAUUGAUUCUUCUGCUGCUACAGAAGAAGGAACAGAUGAUGUUGCCCUCUACUGAUGGUGUCAGUUACUGUGGGAAACCUGCUUAACAUCUUCUCAUCCAAGACAGCAUUUGCACCAAUUCCACGAACUAAUUAGGUGAAAUGUUUCACAAAUCACUUGGCUCAGUGGUACAGCAUGCUUAAUAGGAGUUCGAGAAGUAUGGGUUUGAUUCUCUGUUGCAGCUUGCUAUGCAGUUUUUGCACUCAAGAAGACCUGUCCUCCACAGCAGAAGUGUUAUGGCUGCAUCACCUUGUGAAGAAGAUUGGCCUGCAAGAGUCCUGUGCCAAUACCACAGAAAAUGCACUUGUAUUGGUGUCAUGUGAAAUCACUCGUGCUGGUGGCACGUUGAAAGCACUCGGCACACUGUAAAGCGGUGUUGGGAAGAACAUCCAGCUGUACAAUCCAAGCCAAAUCAAACUAGAACCUAAUGCAGCUUCCCAGCUUCUUUGUUCUCGUCAAACCGUCCAACCCAUACCAGCAUGGAAAACAGGUGUGAACCCUUUAGUGUUCAGAUUACUCUGUAAAAUGUUCUGUUUAUUUAUUCAUAUCAUUAUCCCAAAGCUUUGAGGUCUGAAUGAUGUGAUUGUUUAUUUUCAGAAUGUCAGUGUGGAGUAGGUUUGUGAGGAGCAAAACAUGGCCAGUUUGAAUGUAAAACAGGCAGAAUAUUUGAGCCACUCAUAUCUGGCCCAAAUACUUUAUCAUUUCCAUGUUCAAACUAGCCAGAUUUCACUCUUUGUACAUACCCUACAAUGUCAUUUUGAAAAUAUACAAUCAUGUCAUUGAAAUCUUAAAGCUACCAGAUGAUGCAUGAAUAAUUAAAAGCAAUGUGAAUAAACAAGCAUAACACUUUGACAAUAAUCUGAAUGCUAAAUGGUUAAAGAGUGUGAUGAAUAAGUUUAUUUUCUGACAAAGUCACCUUCCGAAAUUCAGUGUCUUGCCAUGAAUGAAAAGGCAUAGGUUGUACAAAGCUAAAGAUCUCUUGUAUUUUUUUGUCUGUGGUUUCACAGUAUCUCUGGCUUUCCACAAACUUGCUACAUUUGCAUAAGGAUAAUGGUUCUGUUAAAUAUCUUUGAAUGUAUGUUGUCCAAUGGAAACUUUGCCUAUUGCUAGCCUGCGCAAUUAAAUGUACUUUUUAAAA